CAUCUAGGCGGUCAAUCAAGUCGAAGGUGAAAACUUGUGGCUCAACCAUAAGCUUGCCUACGAAACUGAUUAACUAGAGUAUUGGAGAGGUGGACGGAACUACACGAGUAGAGGUGAAAUUCGUAGAUAUGUGUAGGAAUGCCGAUGAUGAAGAUAGUUCACUGGACAGAAACUGACGCUGAAGUGCGAAAGCUAGGGGAGCAAACA
rnacentral:rRNA from 1 species